rnacentral:rRNA from 1 species
UGCAGUCGAGCGGACCGACGGGAGCUUGCUCCCUUAGGUCAGCGGCGGCACUUGUGAGUAACACGUGGGUAACCUGCCUGUAAGACUGGGACCUCUUCGAGAAACCGGGGCUAAUACCGGAUGCUUGAUUGAACCGCAUGGUUCAAUCAUGAAAGGCGGCUUCGGCUGCCGUUUACCGAUGGACCCGCGGCGCAUUAGCUAGUUGGUGAGGUAACGGCUCACCAAGGCGACGAUGCGUAGCCGACCUGAGAGGGUGAUCGGCCACACUGGGACUGAGACACGGCCCAGACUCCUACGGGAGGCAGCAGUAGGGAAUCUUCCGCAAUGGACGAAAGUCUGACGGAGCAACGCCGCGUGAGUGAUGAAGGUUUUCGGAUCGUAAAGCUCUGUUGUUAGGGAAGAACAAGUACCGUUCGAAUAGGGCGGUACCUUGACGGUACCUAACCAGAAAGCCACGGCUAACUACGUGCCAGCAGCCGCGGUAAUACGUAGGUGGCAAGCGUUGUCCGGAAUUAUUGUGCGUAAAGCGCGCGCAGGCGGUUUCUUACGUCUGAUGUGAAAGCCCCCGGCUCAACCGGGGAGGGUCAUUGGAAACUGGGGAACUUGAGUGC